rnacentral:rRNA from 1 species
CCUACGGGAGGCAGCAGUGAGGAAUAUUGGUCAAUGGACGCAAGUCUGAACCAGCCAAGCAGCGUGCAGGAAGACGGCUCUAUGAGUUGUAAACUGCUUUUGUACGAGGGUAAAUCCCGAUACGUGUAUCGGGUUGCAAGUAUCGUACGAAUAAGGAUCGGCUAACUCCGUGCCAGCAGCCGCGGUAAUACGGAGGAUUCAAGCGUUAUCCGGAUUUAUUGGGUUUAAAGGGUGCGUAGGCGGUUCGUUAAGUUAGAGGUGAAAUCCCGGGGCUCAACUCCGGCACUGCAUCUGAGCCUGUCGGGCUAGAGUUUAGUUGCGGUAGGCGGAAUGUAUGGUGUAGCGGUGAAAUGCAUAGAGAUCAUACAGAACACCGAUUGCGAAGGCAGCUUGCCAAACUACGACUGACGUUGAGGCACGAAAGCGUGGGGAGCAAACAGGAUUAGAUACCCGGGUAGUC